GUGGAUGAAUAGUAUUGGGCAGUGGAGGCUGACUCUACGUAAGGACAGGUCUGUGUGGAUGAAUAGUAUUGGGCUGUGGAGGCUGACUCUCCCUAAGGACAGGUCUGUGUGGAUGAAUAGUAUUGGGCUGUGGAGGCUGACUCUCCCUAAUGACAUGUCUGUGUGGAUGAAUAGUAUUGGGCUGUGGAGGCUGACUCUCCCUAAGGACAGGUCUGUGUGUGUGGAUGAAUAGUAUUGGGCUGUGGAGGCUGACUCUCCCUAAGGACAAGUCUGUGUGGAUGAAUAGUAUUGGACAGUGGAGACUGACUCUCCCUAAGGACAGGUCUGUGUGUGUGGAUGAAUAGUAUUGGGCUGUGGAGGCUGACUCUCCCUAAGGAUAGGUCUGUGUGGAUGAAUAGUAUUGGGCUGAGGAGGCUGACUCUCCCUAAGGACAGGUCUGUGUGUGUGGAUGAAUAGUAUUGGGCUGUGGAGGCUGACUCUCCCUAAGGACAGGUCUGUGUGGAUGAAUAGUAUUGGACAGUGGAGGCUGACUCUCCCUAAGGACAGGUCUGUGUGGAUGAAUAGUAUUGGGCUGAGGAGGCUGACUCUACGUAAGGACAGGUCUGUGUGGAUGAAUAGUAUUGGGCUGAGGAGGCUGACUCUACGUAAGGACAGGUCUGUGUGGAUGAAUAGUAUUGGGCUGAGGAGGCUGAGGAGGCUGACUCUACGUAAGGACAGGUCUCUGUGGAUGAAUAGUAUUGGGCUGUGGAGGCUGACUCUCCCUAAGGACAGGUCUGUGUGGAUGAAUAGUAUUGGGCUGUGGAGGCUGACUCUCCCUAAGGACAGGUCUGUGUGGAUGAAUAGUAUUGGGCUGAGGAGGCUGACUCUACGUAAGGACAGGUCUCUGUGGAUGAAUAGUAUUGGACAGUGGAGGCUGACUCUCCCUAAGGACAGGUCUGUGUGGAUGAAUAGUAUUGGGCUGUGGAGGCUGACUCUCCCUAAUGACAGGUCUGUGUGGAUGAAUAGUAUUGGGCUGAGGAGGCUGACUCUCCCUAAGGACAGUGUGUGACUGACUGUAUGUGAGCAAAUGUGUGUGGAGGGACAGAGAGAGUAGGGACUGUUGUACUCUCCAGGGGAAGAGAAAAACAGAGGAGUGAGUUGAAAGAAGACAGGAAAAGGAAGAGAGAUAGAGACUGAGAACGAGAGAGAGGAAGAUAGAGAGAGAUGGGGCCGGUGAAGAGGCCGGGUAGAUUUGCUGCCUGACUCGGUUGCCAGGGGCUACCUGUGUAACUGUGUGUGUGUGUGUGUGUGUGUGUGUGUGUGU